CUGGCCCUGAAUCAAGGCCAGCAUCUUCCUGAUGCUGUUGGUUUCAAGCAGGAGCCUAAAGAGACGUCUUUCAAUGGUCUUUUGGCCAUUUCAGAACUUGGGCAGUGAAAUGGUUAAUUCAUUAAAAAGAAACAGCU
ensembl:snoRNA